rnacentral:lncRNA from 1 species
UGUAUUGUUAGACUAUCACGCCAAUAUGUUACAAUUCCCUAUAUCCAAUAUGCCAAACAUGUUAAGACUUUCAAAACAUAUUCUAGGGGUGUCACAAUGUCAAAACUCCCACAUCUUUAAGCCAUAUAAUUAUGAUUAUUAUGAGAGCACAUCAACACAAAUAGUGUUAUGUAGUAAUAAUACACUUUUUCUAAACACCUUCGGCGCUUAUGCAGAUACAUUCAAACUCAUCGAUUGUCAUCAACAAGAUGUAAUUUACAUGGAACAUCAUUAUAAGCCAAUUGCUGGAUACAAUGCUUUCCACUUGGCUUGCUUUCUCCCAACAAACCUAAAAGAGAAACUUUUCACUAAAGAACUAACCUUAUACUUAGCAGGAAGAAAAAGGAACUCCUGCUUCAGUUUAUCUAGUGUGGAAUAUUUAGAUGCUUCUUCAAUCUUAAUAGGAUUUCUCAAACAAUCCCAACAAAAAACAUUUUUUAUGCAAAGUUUCUUUCUUAUAAGGAAUUAGAGGAGAAAAGUUAUAUAUCGUAUUCUGGAAUAUCACAAUUUAAGAUUCCCACCAUACCCAACUAAGUACUUCAACAAUAAAGGCAAUCAAAACGGUAUUUUCAUAAUUCGGUGAAGCAAUAAUCGGGUAAAGUAAUUGAAGAUAGAGUUCUUACCGGUUCUUCUCCAAUCAGCAGCAAUACGAUGCAACAAGGAGGACGCAACAGAGAAGGAGCUCGUUCAAGAAUAGCUGAUAAUAAAAA